rnacentral:misc_RNA from 1 species
GAUGAAGAACGCAGCGAAAUGCGAUAAGUAAUGUGAAUUGCAGAAUUCAGUGAAUCAUCGAAUCUUUGAACGCACAUUGCGCCCCUUGGUAUUCCAUGGGGCAUGCCUGUUCGAGCGUCAUUUGUACCUUCAAGCUCUGCUUGGUGUUGGGUGUUUGUCUCGCCUCUGCGUGUAGACUCGCCUCAAAACAAUUGGCAGCCGGCGUAUUGAUUUCGGAGCGCAGUACAUCUCGCGCUUUGCACUCAUAACGACGACGUCCAAAAGUACAUUUUUACACUCUUGACCUCGGAUCAGGUAGGGAUACCCGCUGAACUUAAGCAUAUCAUAAGCGGAGGA